rnacentral:lncRNA from 1 species
UCAAAGAAUAUUAAUCCAGAUGAAAUCCUCUUGGAGGCUAAAUUCAUGUUUACAGUUAGCUACAGUUCCUCUAUGCAAAAAUUCUGCAAGCCUUAACUUUAUGAAGCCUGGAUGGAGUGAAAAAGAAUGUAUUUUCUGAAAACAGCUAGUAGGUGGCGUGGCACACUUACAGAAGAAGAUUGAGGAUGCAAGAAAGAAAAAGAAAAGGAUCUUGGAACACACCAAGGAUUUUCUUGAUCUCUGGCUAUCGGCUGCAGGGACACCAGAAAUGGGGGCAGAAGCCUGGAAGUGAUGAAACAAUCAGAGUUCAAGUGGAGUGUCAUAUGUUUGAGUUCGCUGUGUAA